GAUGAACGCUGGCGGCGUGCCUAAUACAUGCAAGUCGAGCGAACAGACGAGGAGCUUGCUCCUCUGACGUUAGCGGCGGACGGGUGAGUAACACGUGGAUAACCUACCUAUAAGACUGGGAUAACUUCGGGAAACCGGAGCUAAUACCGGAUAAUAUAUUGAACCGCAUGGUUCAAUAGUGCAAGACGCUUUUGCUGUCACUUAUACAUGGAUCCGCGCCGCAUUAGCUAGUUGGUACGGUAACGGCUUACCAAGGCAACGAUGCGUAGCCGACCUGAGAGGGGGAUGGCCCAGACUAGAUCUGAGACACGGUCCAGACGCCUACGGGAGGCAGCAGUAGGGAAUCUUCCGCAAUGGGCGAAAGCUUGACGGAGCAACGCCGCGUGAGUGAUGAGGGUCUUCGGUUCGUAAAACUCUGUUAUGAGGGAAGAACGAAUGUGUAAGUAACUAUGCACGUCUUGACGGUACCUAAACAGAAAGCCACGGCUAACUACGUG
rnacentral:rRNA from 1 species